CCUACGGGAGGCAGCAGUGGGGAAUAUUGCGCAAUGGGCGAAAGCCUGACGCAGCAACGCCGCGUGAGUGAAGAAGGCCUUCGGGUUGUAAAGCUCUGUCAGAGGGAAAGAAUGUGACUGGCUACACCAGUCUUUGACGGUACCCUCGAAGGAAGCACUGGCUAACUCCGUGCCAGCAGCCGCGGUAAUACGGAGAGUGCAAGCGUUGUUCGGAAUUAUUGGGCGUAAAGCGCGUGUAGGUGGUUCGAUAAGUCUGAUGUGAAAGCCCAGAGCUUAACUCUGGAAGUGCACCGGAAACUGUCGAACUUGAGUACUGGAGGGGGAAGUGGAAUUCUCGAGUGUAGAGGUGAAAUUCGUAGAUAUUCGGAAGAACAUCAGUGGCGAAGGCGACUUCCUGGACAGAUACUGACACUGAGACGCGAAAGCGUGGGUAGCAAACAGGAUUAGAUACCCCUGUAGUC
rnacentral:rRNA from 1 species